AUAUGUGAUGAACCAGUAUUUUUGAUAGGAAAUGCCGUCUGAUUUUAUACUGACGAUAUUAACACGAUUCUGAUA